UGGCCGUAAACGAUGUGGACUUGGUGUUGGGAUGGCCUCGAGCUGCCCCAGUGCCGAAGGGAAGCUGUUAAGUCCACCGCCUGGGAAGUACGGUCGCAAGACUGAAACUUAAAGGUAUUGGCGGGGGAGCACCACAACGCGUGGAGCCUGCGGUUAAUUGGAUUCAACGCCGGACAUCUCACCAGGGGCGGACAGCAGGAUGAUGGCCAGAUUGACGAUCUUGCUUGACAAGCUGAGAGGAGGUGCAUGGCGUCAGUGACU
rnacentral:rRNA from 1 species